rnacentral:rRNA from 1 species
UGGGGAAUAUUGCACAAUGGGCGCAAGCCUGAUGCAGCCAUGCCGCGUGUAUGAAGAAGGCCUUCGGGUUGUAAAGUACUUUCAGCGGGGAGGAAGGUGUUGUGGUUAAUAACCACAGCAAUUGACGUUACCCGCAGAAGAAGCACCGGCUAACUCCGUGCCAGCAGCCGAGGUAAUACGGAGGGUGCAAACGUUAAUCGGAAUUACUGGGCGUAAAGCGCACGCAGGCGGUCUGUCAAGUCGGAUGUGAAAUCCCCGGGCUCAACCGGGGAACUGCAUCCGAAACUGGCAGGCUUGAGUCUUGUAGAGGGGGGUAGAAUUCCAGGUGUAGCGGUGAAAUGCGUAGAGAUCUGGAGGAAUACCGGUGGCGAAGGCGGCCCCCUGGACAAAGACUGACGCUCAGGUGCGAAAGCGUGGGGAGCAAACA